GGGUUUGAACUCACAACCCUGAGAUCGAGACCUGAGCUGAGAUCAAGAGUCACAUGCUUAACCAACUGAGCCACCCAGGCACCCCCGAUUGCGUUGUUUUAAACAGACUGAGUCUGAGGUGCCUGUGAAACAUCAUCAUGGAAAUAGUCCAUAGACAGUUGGAAGAAAUGUCUGAUUUGAAAUGUAGAUUUCAAAAUGCUGCUCUACAGUCCCCAAAGGUUCUGCCCCUUCCCCUCUCUUCCAUUCUGAUGCAAUCUCCCGGUCUCCUUCCAGCCAUUCUCAUCCUUUCUGCCCAUCUUGUUCAGGAGCUGUCUCUCUUCUUAAGGAACCCCUCUGUCUGGGUGAAGCCAUUGCUUCUGUCACCAUCUGUGUGCCAAGGCUUCAGUGGAAUGCUGGGAGUCAGAUAACCAUCACCCAUUAAAGUAAAUUUCAGGGGUGCCUGGCUGGCUCAGUCAGAAGAGCAUGCGAUUCUUGAUCUUGGGGUUGUGAGUUCGAGCCCCACAUUGGGCGUAGAGAUUACUUAAAUAAAUAAAUAAGCUUUAAAAAAUUUAAUUUCGAUUUUACAAAACAAAAUAAUUUAGUGGAUCUACUUUUCAAAAGUUUAUAAAAAUUAUUACAAAAAAACAAAAACAUCUCCCAAACCAAAAUAUUUCCAUCCCCAAGCCCAGGAAAUCGUGAUGUGUAGUCAGAGUUCUUUAAAGUUAUAUUAAAAGUAUAGAUUUAAUCUGAUAGUUCCCCAAAAUUAUAAACCUGAAAACUAGUGAUCUGAAAUACUCAUUUUCUAUAUGCUCUUUAGACCUCAAUUACCUGGGAAAAUCCCUUCUCCCAUUCUGACCCAGGAUGCCCAACUGCCAACAUACCUUUACCAAAACGAGAACUCUGAACUUCAUAUCUUUAUAUCCUGCCUUCUGCUCUUCUUGCCAACAGCUCCCCAGCCCUUCCUCUUCAGCCCCAUGUCUGCUCUCUGGGCUCUUUUCUGUCCAGCUUCCUUGCCCUUCAGAUGUAAUGUGCAUCACGCUGGUCCCUACUGGUGACUACGUUUACAGUUCUGCCACUUUUCUGAAGUGUUUGUAAACACCUUCAGCCACGUCCGUCUCCUGGCUGUUUCCUGGUCAUACCUCUCCACUCAUCUGCACACCACUGGCCUUGCUUUGUCCCGCCUGUCCUGCAUCAGCCUCAGCCUCUCCUUAGUGCAUUCCCAAUGCUGCUAGGUCAAGAGGAAGCAUUAACUAGUUUCGGCCUGCCUCUGGGGCAGCUUGACCACUGUGAAUUUAUUUUGCAAAUACUACAUAGAUAUUAGUUUACCUGACAAUUACAAUUACAAUUACUUCUAUUAAAAUAAUAUGAAGAGUUGGGGCUCCUGGCUGGCUCAGUCGAAGAGCAUGCGACUCUUGAUCUCGGGGUUGUGUGUUCAAGCUCUAUGUUGGGUGUGGAGAUUACUUAAAAUAUAUAUAUAUACAUUAGAAGAGAUAACAUGAAAGGUCUACCCCAAUAUUAAUGGUUGUUAUACUGCCUAGCACAGAAACACAGCAUGAAUGCCUCUUGUUUUAAAAACAGCCCUAGAGGGGCAGCUGGGUGGCUCAGUCGUUAGGCGUCUGCCUUCGGCUCCGGUUGUGAUCCCGGGGUCCUGGGAUCGAGCCCCGCAUCGGGCUCCCUGCUCGGUGGGGAGCCUGCUUCUCCCUCUCCCACUCCCCCUGCUUGUGUUCCUUCUCUCGCUUUGUCUCUCUCUGUCAAAUAAAUAAAUAAAAAAUCUUUAAAAAAAAAAAAAAAAAACAGCCCUAGAAGGGGCACCUGGGUAGCUCAGUCUGUUAAGCGUCUGACUCUUGGUUUUGGCUCAGGUCAUGAUUUCAGGGUUGUGAGAUUGAGCCCCACAUCAGCGUCCAUGCUCAGCAGGGAGUCUGCUUGGGAUUCUCUCUCUCCCUCUCCCCUCACCCCCGCACGUGUGUCCUCUUUGUCUUUCUCUCUCUCAAAUAAACUUUAAAAAUAAAAAUAAAUAAAUAAAUACAAACAGCCCUAAAAAGUAUGGAGAAGCAGGCACUCUCAUUGAGGGGCAAUUUAGAAAUGUUUCAGAAUCCACCCUAAAUAUACAUAUGUGCAUGUGUAUGUAUAUACAUGUAUGUGCACACAUUUGCAUAUAUAUGUGUAUGAGGUAUAACAUUUACAUAUAUCUAAUUUCUCAGGGUAUGUAGGAUAUUGAUAGCAUUGGUUAUAGUUAGAGGAAGGCACUGGAGGUUGUGGGAUAGGGUGUGAAGGAAACUUCCACUGCCUUCCUUUGUGUGCCUUUUGAAUUGUGAUGAUUGAUGGAUUACUUACUUGAAUUUUUUUUUUCAACAUACUAUUCUAUGCCCAGCAACUUUACUUCAGGGAAUUUCCCCUAGAGAAAUAUUUGUAUAUGUGUUAGCAAACUUGUGUGUAAGAUGAUGUUAACGACAACGUGUUUAUAGUAACGAGGGUAACAACAAAGCUAGGAGCAACCUAAAAGUUCAUCAGUAGGAGUGGACCCUCAGUUAUGACAUAUGUGUACUGUGGUUUAGAAAAAUGAGGUAUGCAGAUAUGCUAACAUGGAAAGACUGCCGAAUUAGGAUAGGAUGAGUUAGGCUUCAGUCACAAACAACCCCCAGGUCUCAGCAGCUUAAUGUAACAAGGGCUUAUGUGUCACUCACAUAAAAUCUGUGGAUCCAGGAGACUCUGCGGGUAGCCAGUGAGCACCCAGGCUGCUUUCACCUUGUGGCUCUGCCAUCUCGAACAGAGCUUCCUCGGGCCCCAGGGCAGUGUGCACACCGGCUCUUCUGUGCUUUGGCUCAGGAGCAUGGACGUCCCACAGCUAUUGGCCAGAACUAAUAAUGCGGCCCUGCCUAACCACAAGAAGGGGUUGAAAUGGGGAAGAAGAGAUGGAAUGUUUGGGGACAGAACUGUGUCUUUGCCAUAUACAAACAACGGAGUACAGGCACAUAAAGUUUCCUGGAAGGAUAUAGAAGAGUGAUUGGUUAACAAUAGAAACCUUUGGAGAGUAGGAUGAAGGCUUUUACCCCGUUUGAAUAUUUUUACCAUUAUUAACCUGCCUUUAACAUUAUAGUUUAUAGUAGAAUUCAUGUGCAUUAACUUUUGUGGGGUUUUUUUUUUCAAUCUGGUUUAGACUGACUCUGAAGUCUUUCAUGAAAAGAAAAAUUCAAUUUUGAGGAAUCUGUACAAUUGUUAGCUUACUUUAAGUGAAAUUAUUUUGUAGCUCUCCUAUGUGAAUGGAUAUAUAACAUGUAUACAACAGGGAGAAUUGCAAAAUCCACCUAUAUUUGUCCUUCCUUAUGUUAUUUUGUUAGGCCUUGCAUGUGGCCAGUGUUGUAAAAUGGGAAAUGCCAUUCACCAUUUACUGUGCACCGCUCCUUUCCUGAAUACGCUGGAGCUAAAGGGCAGGCAAAGUAAUUCAUUCAUAGCGAGCAAGGAACUGACUAGCGUUGCCUUGGAAAGCCAAACACCCAGUGAGCUAUAAAAAUGCAGUAACAGAUAACAUAAUACUUACUCUUAAGAGAAAUAUUUAAAAAGUGUAUUAGUCUCUUCAGGCAUUCAAAAUAGGAAGGUUCGCUUUUACAGGUUAAUGCACUCUUUCUCCAAAGCCAGAUGUUCUCAUUUACAAAUCGGGUAUAAAAUAUACAUUUAAACUAAUUGAACAAGUAAACAGCAUAUAACACUUUAGGUGUGGUAGCGUAAGAUUACUUUUAUAAUCAUGCUCUCCCAUCUCUCAUCAAAUCCUCGGAGAACAAUUUAAUCCCUGAAGUUAUAUAUGGUCCGAAAAGAGCGAUGUGGUUUGAGCUCUUGUGUCUCAGGGAGUCUCUGAAACCCAGAGAGCACGCAGCCUCCCAAAUAGCUCUUCCAGGACCAGGUCCAAGGCCAGUGCUUCUGUGGACCAGCCCAGCUCCAACCUUGGUGUCCUGAUGGGCUGCCUUGACCAGGGUUAGACUCUGCUGUCUAUGUCAGCUUUCAAGUUCGUACUUUUUCUUUCAAAGAAUUCUUUCAGUUUUGAGGUUAUCUCUUUAUGCUAUAUGUGUAAAGAUGACCUCAUUUUGAUGGUCUUAUUGCUUUAUUGGUCAUCUCUGCCAGUAACACACCUCAUCAUCAGUUUUGGCUCCAAAACCAGACUCAGUAUGUGAGAGAUUCAUACCUUGGAGCCCACCCUAGUUUGAGCUCUUUUGGUCUGCAUUUCUCUGGACCUGCCUUCACCAUGAUACUCAGUUCACUGUGACUACUACAUUCAGAAAAGAUGUGUCUUUUCCAAAUAAAAAAGGCUGUGAAGGUUGUUUUGCCAAGGAUUAGGGAUUAAAUUAAAUUGGAUUAAACAUAAGUAAUACAAAUUUUAUUUUCCUAGUGUAGCUAAUAGUGCUAAACUACAAAUUUAAAACAGGCCUUAUUAAAAAUUUAAAUGACUGUAAACCUAACAGGUAAUGAAAAUCAGUGCUUACACUUUCUGAGGUUUUUAUGUCCUUCUCCAUUAGAGUUGCUAAACUAUCAUCCUGAAGGAUUAUACAUUGUAACAUGCUCCACUGUGCAUGACUAAUAUCCAGCUUCUGUCACACACAACCUCACCAUGAGAAUUUAACAGCAUCCAGAAUGGUCUUUACUCUGUCGAACAAGAUGAGUUCACUGAUCUCCCUCUUGGCUGUCACCGUAAUGUCAAAUUGCCAUAAAAGUUUCUAAACAUUCUCUAUUUCUGUACUUCCCACAGACUAAGCAACCAACAAUGUGCAGACUGGAGCACUUGGAAUAACAGUGUUUGGUUUUUUAUAAAGAAAUAGAGGGACAGUUGAAAUAUUAAAUAUUAAAUAGCAGUAACAAAUUAAACAGUUUAAAAGGGUAAUAGUGGAGAUGCCCCAGUGUGGCAUGCGAUUAAUUGCUAAAUUGUAGAGACAGCAAUCAGCCUCUACCUCCAGUGGAGGGAAAGAGAUCCUACAGGCUAGAGAUGCCAUGGAGAGCAUUAUGGAGAUGGUGGGACUUGAAAUACUUCCUAAAAGAUGUUAAGAUGUUUGAAAAUAGAAAUUGGAUCGAUUUUAUUUUAUGAGUAACUGUAGUAUCAUGAUUAACUAGUUGAUGAAUUGUUCUGUAAGCCAAAAGUAAACAUUAGUCAGACUGAUUAGUAAUGUAUAAAUACUGAUUUUACCAGAUAAAUCUUAAUGUCAGCCUUUAAAUGCCAAGGGUACUUCCUUGUUGGUGCUCUUUUUUUAAAAAUUAAAUUAAAAAGAAAAGCCUUUGUUCUUUGAAUUGUAACAGAUUUCUUCCCGACUACUGUGUUUCAGCCUGCUUCUUUGUGAGUAGCAAUACUCAGGAAGGUUCCUUUAAAGAGCUCUGUUUUGCAGAUGUUGUUUUGUAACAUGGGUUUAAUCCUCGCCAGCUCAGUCUUUUUUAUUUAUCCUGCAUGCAGUUGGUAUUGCAUCACUUCCUUUGCAAGAGAAUUGACUACGGGAUCUUAGGGCAGGGUAGGUUUUUUUUUUUUUUCAUUGUUUUGCACAAAGCCCAUUACCUAUUUAUAGUAUCAGAACUUUCUAUUAGUCAUCACCAGAAAUUAUUAUUACACCUGUCAACUGGUUUUGUAGUGAGUUGUAUACAAAUGACAGAUGAAUAUGUGUAUGUACUUCCCCCUAAACCAGUUUUAUUAUCUUUAAACAUGAGUCCCGAUUAAAAAUUGGAUAAUAUCCCUUAAAAAUCCACUCUCUCUAGCUUCUCUUGAAAAAUGAAAAAAAAAAAAAAAAAAGUUCUGGCACUCGGUACACGUUUCAAAAUAGGGACCAUCUAUAAGAGCAACAGCUGCUCCCUUCUACAGGGCACGCACUGGUCCAGCGCCCUCUGGGUCCUAUAGAGUUCAUUUCUGCUUCACUUACAUGUUUUGCCUGCCUGGCUUCCGUAGACAGCUUCGUUUGAUUAUGGGACUAGUAUGUAAGAGCCCAAACACGCCAGAACAAAACCUUCAGCUUUACCAGUGCCAUCAGCUACCUUCCCUAACUCGAAUUAUGUACCAUUUGAAAAACAAUAUGAUACACAGUUGACCCUUGAGCAACACGAGGGUUAGGGCACUGAUUUCCCACAUAAUUGAAAAUCCAGAUAUAACUUUGACUUCCCCAAAACUUAACUACUGAUAGUCUGCUGUUGAUCAGAAGUCUUACUGAUAAUAUAGACAGUCAAUUAAUACAUAUUUUGCAUGCUAUAUGUAUUUUAUACUGUAAAGUAAGCUAGAAGAAAAUGUUAAGAAAAUCAGAAAAUACAUUUACAGUGCUGUACUGUAAAAAAUCUGUGUAAGUGGACCGGCAUAGUUCAAGCCUGUGUGUUCGAGGGUCAGCAUCUUAGAAAAGUAAGUUAUUAUAAUCUGUAUAAAUAAAGUAUUAGUGGGCGCCUGGGUGGCUCAGUUGGUUAAGCGACUGCCUUCGGCUCAGGUCAUGAUCCUGGAGUCCCUGGAUCGAGUCCCGCAUCGGGCUCCCCGCUCGGCAGGGAGUCUGCUUCUCCCUCUGACCCUCCCCCCCUCUCAUGUGCUCUCUCUCUCAUUCUCUCUGUCAAAUAAAUAAAUAAAAUCUUUAAAAAAUAAUAAUAAUAAAAAAAAUAAAGUAUUAGUAUGUGUAUAUAUAUUUGCAUGCAUAUACAUACAUACAUAUUUUAGAAUAAGACAAAUAUGAAAACAUGUUAGCAAUCCAAGAGAAAGAUAUUUGGAAGUUUUUUAAUGCUCUUAAGUUUGCAAUUAUUUCAGUAUGAAAAUUAUUUUUAAAAGUCAGAGCUAACAGCCACAGAUUGUCAACAGUGAGAAAGAUGUUUCUUCCCUAAGUGAUUAAUCUUUUAGUCAGAAUUUGAGGAAAGGAAACAUUUAAGGCCAAUCUAAUUGAUACCAUGUCUUACAAGUUAUUUUCCAGCAAAAAAAAAAAUUUUUUCUUCUAGUUGAUAUUAAGGACAAAACUUGGAAGAAGUAUUUUUGUAUGCAUUAAUAACCAAAACAAUUUUUUCUGCAUCCAAUUUUAGCAGCCUGACAUAAGAACGCAUUCAAAGCAUAAAUAAAGGCAUUGCCUCCCUAUAUCUAAGGAAGGACCUUAUUAGCAAAGUGUACACAUAUUUUGCUGAUGUGCAGGCGCCCACAUAUUAGAUAUUUUAAAUAAGCAAUAGAUCCGAGCUGUUUGUUCAUUUGUGGUGGUGGAUUUGUGCCAAUUUAGCCCCAUGCUUUGGUCUAAUCGCUGGUAUGUGUCUUCUAGAAGGCCGGUCAGGAUAAAAGCUGUAGUCAACAGAGCCACAACAGAGGAUGAAGGAAAAGAACAACUUUCCUUGCAAGGACAAAACGAAGCCAUUUCAAGAUUCAUUCUCAACAGUGUAAAGUUACAGGUGCCUUCACCUAACUGUGACUCUCUGCCCAGCGUGGGCAUGUCCUGACAUCAGCCUUGUAGAGACUCUCCUGUCAAAGUGACUGGUUGACUGAGCACCCUGUGAGUGACCAACAU